GUGCCAGCAGCCGCGGUAAUACGUAGGGUGCAAGCGUUAAUCGGAAUUACUGGGCGUAAAGCGUGCGCAGGCGGUUUUUUAAGUUGGAUGUGAAAUCCCCGGGCUCAACCUGGGAAUUGCAUUGGAGACUGCCAGGCUAGAAUCUGGCAGAGGGGGGUAGAAUUCCACGUGUAGCAGUGAAAUGCGUAGAUAUGUGGAGGAACACCGAUGGCGAAGGCGGCCCCCUGGGCUAAGACUGACACUCAUGCACGAAAGCGUGGGGAGCAAACAGGAUUAGAAACCCGAGUAGUCC
rnacentral:rRNA from 1 species